AUUGGAUCCAGACUUUGAUCAUGGCUCAGGAUGAACGCUAGCUACAGGCUUAACACAUGCAAGUCGAGGGGAAACGAUAUUGGAAGCUUGCUUCCGAUAGGCGUCGACCGGCGCACGGGUGAGUAACGCGUAUCCAACCUGCCCAUCACUUGGGGAUAACCUUGCGAAAGUAAGACUAAUACCCAAUGAUAUCUCUAGAAGACAUCUGAAAGGGAUUAAAGAUUUAUCGGUGAUGGAUGGGGAUGCGUCUGAUUAGUUUGUUGGCGGGGUAACGGCCCACCAAGGCGACGAUCAGUAGGGGUUCUGAGAGGAAGGUCCCCCACAUUGGAACUGAGACACGGUCCAAACUCCUACGGGAGGCAGCAGUGAGGAAUAUUGGUCAAUGGGCGAGAGCCUGAACCAGCCAAGUAGCGUGCAGGAUGACGGCCCUAUGGGUUGUAAACUGCUUUUAUAAGGGAAUAAAGUGAGUCUCGUGAGACUUUUUGCAUGUACCUUAUGAAUAAGGACCGGCUAAUUCCGUGCCAGCAGCCGCGGUAAUACGGAAGGUCCGGGCGUUAUCCGGAUUUAUUGGGUUUAAAGGGAGCGUAGGCCGG
rnacentral:rRNA from 1 species